rnacentral:rRNA from 1 species
AUUGAACGCUGGCGGCAGGCCUAACACAUGCAAGUCGAACGGUAACAGGAAGAAGCUUGCUUCUUUGCUGACGAGUGGCGGACGGGUGAGUCAUGUCUGGGAAACUGCCUGAUGGAGGGGGAUACCUACUGGAAACGGUAGCUAAUACCGCAUAAUGUCGCAAGCCCAAAGAGGGGGACCUUCGGGCCUCUUGCCAUCGGAUGUGCCCAGAUGGGAUUAGCUAGUAGGUGGGGUAACGGCUCACCUAGGCGACGAUCCCUAGCUGGUCUGAGAGGAUGACCAGCCACACUGGAACUGAGACACGGUCCAGACUCCUACGGGAGGCAGCAGUGGGGAAUAUUGCACAAUGGGCGCAAGCCUGAUGCAGCUAUGCCGCGUGUAUGAAGAGGGCCUUCGGGUUGUAAAGUACUUUCAGCGGGGAGGAAGGGAGUAAAGUUAAUACCUUUGCUCAUUGACGGUACCCGCAGAAGAAGCACCGGCUAACUCCGUG